GGGCGUAAGAGCUCGUAGGCGGUCUGUUGCGUCCGCUGUGAAAACUCGGGGCUUAACCCCGAGCCUGCAGUGGAUACGGGCAGACUAGAGGUAGGUAGGGGAGAAUGGAAUUCCCGGUGUAGCGGUGAAAUGCGCAGAUAUCGGGAGGAACACCAGUGGCGAAGGCGGUUCUCUGGGCCUUACCUGACGCUGAGGAGCGAAAGCGUGGGGAGCGAACAGGAUUAGAUACCCUGGUAGUCCACGCCGUAAACGUUGGGCGCUAGGUGUGGGAUCCUUCCACGGAUUCCGUGCCGCAGCUAACGCAUUAAGCGCCCCGCC
rnacentral:rRNA from 1 species